GGACUACUCGGGUAUCUAAUCCUGUUUGCUCCCCACGCCUUCGCGCCUCAGCGUCAGUCUCGGUCCAGAGCGCCGCCUUCGCCACCGGUGUUCUUCCCAAUAUCUACGAAUUUCACCUCUACACUGGGAAUUCCACGCUCCUCUCCCGAACUCCAGCAUACCAGUCCCAAGCGCACCUCCCAGGUUGAGCCCGGGGCUUUCACGCCUGACUUGAUACGCCGCCUACGCGCCCUUUACGCCCAGUAAAUCCGAACAACGCUCGCCCCCUUCGUAUUACCGCGGCGGCUGGCAC
rnacentral:rRNA from 1 species